rnacentral:rRNA from 1 species
UACGUAGGUGGCAAGCGUUGUCCGGAUUUACUGGGUGUAAAGGGCGCGUAGGCGGGCUCGUAAGUCAGACGUGAAAUACCGGGGCUCAACCCCGGGGCUGCGUUUGAAACUGCGAGUCUUGAGUGCCGGAGAGGAAAGCGGAACUCCUAGUGUAGCGGUGAAAUGCGUAGAUAUUAGGAGGAACACCAGUGGCGAAGGCGGCUUUCUGGACGGUAACUGACGCUGAGGCGCGAAAGCGUGGGGAGCAAACAGG